rnacentral:rRNA from 1 species
CCUACGGGUGGCAGCAGUGGGGAAUAUUGCACAAUGGGCGCAAGCCUGAUGCAGCCAUGCCGCGUGUGUGAAGAAGGCCUUCGGGUUGUAAAGCACUUUCAGCGGGGAGGAAGGCGUUAAGGUUAAUAACCUUGGCGAUUGACGUUACCCGCAGAAGAAGCACCGGCUAACUCCGUGCCAGCAGCCGCGGUAAUACGGGGGGUGCAAGCGUUAAUCGGAAUUACUGGGCGUAAAGCGCACGCAGGCGGUCUGUCAAGUCGGAUGUGAAAUCCCCGGGCUCAACCUGGGAACUGCAUUCGAAACUGGCAGGCUAGAGUCUUGUAGAGGGGGGUAGAAUUCCAGGUGUAGCGGUGAAAUGCGUAGAGAUCUGGAGGAAUACCGGUGGUGAAGGCGGCCCCCUGGACAAAGACUGACGCUCAGGUGCGAAAGCGUGGGGAGCAAACAGGAUUAGAUACCCGAGUAGUC